GAGUGGCUCAGUCAGUAGAGCAUGAGGCUCUAACAUCUCAGGGUCGUGGGUUCAAGCCCCACCUUGGACA